ensembl:lncRNA
CAAGAUGAGGGCAAGAUGAGCGUCAGAGGAUUAUUCAGGCUGCUGACCUACAGUGGCCCCAGAGCCACCUUAUAGUACCCCCUGAACAAGCCAGGAACAGACCCAUCCCUGCCCACAGCCUCAUAUGGGGUUAUGGUGCUCACAGGGUUAUGGGUCAUGUGGAGCCUCGGGGUCACGCGGAGUAGUAUGUGGUACUGGGCUCAUGUGGGGUUAUGGAUCAGGGCUCCACCUUUGGGCUGCAGGGAACCCAAUCCCCUCUCAGGAAGAAAUCAAUGAAUGCACUCCAGCACUACUCCACAUCCUCCGUUCUGACCCCAAACCGCUCCCCACGAGCCCCCAGACCCCCCACGUACCCAUGCCACCUGACGUCCCCGCACCCACAAGUCCCACCUGUACCUCACACCUUGCCUUCUCCUGUGAAGCACUCUGCUCCUGUAGGCUGUGGUCCACAUCCCCUUAUCCUCCCCAAAUCCUCCCAUGUUCUGAUCCGUGUUCCCCAGUAUCCCCAGUACCACCCACUUCACUUUCUGAGACCCACAUCUGUGCCCUACACCUUCUCCAGCUCCUCAUUCCUCACCUGCAGAAGCCAGCCCUGCCACAGCACUGUGAGGUUGUACGGGAUCUGGAGGCAGGUCGGGGGAGGAGAGGCCAAAGAUGGGCUAUGGGGGUCCUGGCAUGGUGAUGGGGACCUGUCAGGGAACAUGGGGUUCCCUGGGGUUCAGGGAGUUCCCAGGGGGGAUCUUGGAGGUGUAAAGGAGGUCUGAGGGAGGAAAUAGGAGGACUCCGUGGAAGCCCAGUGGGGGACAUGGGGUGAUGCUGGGGACUGUGGGGCACCAUGUGGGUAUGGGCCAGCUACGGGGGAGGUGUACUGCGUCUGAGGGGGUCCUUGAGGGGCUCCAGGGCUCUGUGGGGGGCUACAGGGUGUCUCUAGGGGUCUUGCUGGGAAACACUUGGAAGGACAUUGGGGCUCUGAGGGAAUGAUGGGUGGGCUGUCAUGAGAAAGGAAAGGGCAGCCUUGGGGAAAGCAAGGGGCAGCCAGGGGGAUGGAAG